ACCUCCCCAGCAAGUGGGGUUGCCGACGGAUUCCAAACCCGUUGCGUUGUGGGUUCGAUUCCUACGGGAGGUGCCA
rnacentral:tRNA from 1 species